GAUGAACGCUGGCGGCGUGCCUAAUACAUGCAAGUCGAGCGAACGGACGAGAAGCUUGCUUCUCUGAUGUUAGCAGCGGACGGGUGAGUAACACGUGGAUAACCUACCUAUAAGACUGGGAUAACUUCGGGAAACCGGAGCUAAUACCGGAUAAUAUUUUGAACCGCAUGGUUCAAUAGUGAAAGACGGUCUUGCUGUCACUUAUAGAUGGAUCCGCGCUGCAUUAGCUAGUUGGUAAGGUAACGGCUUACCAAGGCAACGAUGCAUAGCCGACCUGAGAGGGUGAUCGGCCACACUGGAACUGAGACACGGUCCAGACUCCUACGGGAGGCAGCAGUAGGGAAUCUUCCGCAAUGGGCGAAAGCCUGACGGAGCAACGCCGCGUGAGUGAUGAAGGUCUUCGGAUCGUAAAACUCUGUUAUUAGGGAAGAACAAAUGUGUAAGUAACUGUGCACAUCUUGACGGUACCUAAUCAGAAAGCCACGGCUAACUACGUG
rnacentral:rRNA from 1 species